GAAAAAGGAUCUGAGUUCCUCUUUGACUCUCCUGAAAGAGUUUUAUAGAAGAGGUGACAGAAGCCAGGAGGUGGCUGUGUGCCACUGUAACUGAGACAAGCAUGUCCUCCUCUGGCUGGCCUCUGGGACCAAGGCUCUUUACUUUCUCUCUUCCCCAGCAUAGGAUUCCUGGAGAAGUAUCAAUUCUUUAGGAUCCAUUGUAUCAGGGUCUAGCUUUCAAUAUUCUGAAUUCAAAAGGGAGAGAGAUUCCUCUUUAGAAUGUCUGGUCAGGGCAUCAGCAGAGGGUUGUGGAUAAUGCUGAGUGCUUGCCCAGCAGGAGGGGAAGCCUUGGUUUGGUUCCAAGCACUGAAAAAUAGUAGAGAUGUCCAUGGGUUUUUUGUUUGUUUGUUUGUUUUUGUUUUUAAUACAGCUAAUUACUGUUUAUAAGAAACAUCCUGGGAGAAACUGCAGAUAAUACCAGCAAAGAGAAUUAUGGAGCUGGGGUCAGGUCCAGGUGCAGUUCUCUGAGAUUCUGAACCCUGUGGAUGUGCCCUUUUCACAAAAAAUCACAUAUACCCAAAGGAACUAAGUGUGAUGCUGGCUGACACCUCAGGGUGGACAGCCACGCCUCAUGUAAGCCAUACUCUAAAGCCCUGUCCCCGCUGAGACUCCAUAGCCUCAAGAACGUCUUGAAGACAAGGUCAUCUGUCUACACCUGAACCUUAAAGUCUCGUCAGAAAAGAAAAAAGGACGCCUUAACUCCUGAAACUCAAUCUCUUGGUCUGGUUUCUGAGUCUCGGGGGCUCCUCGGGACCCUGUGCCCCUUAGGGGUCUGGAGUCUUUCAGUAUGUGGUUCUACAAAGGAAGAACCAAGUCCAGAACCCUGGGAAAGCUGGGCUUCUAAUUCUGAUCGCUGUGGAAUAUUCUUUAGGAUCUUUGGAAGGGAAGAAUAGCAAUGGUUCCAAGCAGCUCCCUGAUUUGCUUUCCUCCAGUCAGACCAGAUCUCCGAAUGUCACUGCUUAAGAAGACAAUGUCAGCUGCAGAUAAAGUUGGCAGAGCUGAGUGGUGCCCCCCUGCCUUCAGAGGGUUCAGGGUUCAGACCCCAAGAAAAGUGCAAACAAAAUAUAGAGGCACCGUUUGGAGACUGUCCCUGCUACAGUUUGGGGACGGCAUCACACUGGACAUGCGGCCUUGCCUUCUGAUGUGGGAAAGACUGCUUGAUGAAGAACUCUCAGUUAUUUCUUCAGCACCAUGUCUGCCUGCAUGCCACUAUGCUUCAAACCCUAAUGGUAAUGGAAUAACCCUCUGAAACUGUAAGCAAGCCCCCAAUUAAAUGAUUUCUUUUAUAAGAGUUGCCAGCCAGGUGGUGGUGGCACAUGCUUUUAAUCCCAGCACUCAAGAGGCAGAGGCAAGCAGAUCUCUGUGAGUUCGAGGCCAGUCUGGUCCACAGAGUGAGUUCCAGGACAGCCUCCAAAGCAAUACAGAGAAACCCUGUCUCGAAAAACAAAAACAAAAAACAAACAAACAAACAAAAAAACAAGAAAAAAGGAAAAACAAAGUUGCCCUGGUCAUGGUGUCUCUUCACAGCAAUAAAACACUGACUAAGACAGGGUCAUAGGUUUUUGAGAGCAUAGGAAACCAGGUAGAAAAAUCUUAGCUUUGAUUGGCAUUGGAACCAGACUCUUGCUUUUUAGAUGUGUCUUGCAGUGUCACCCACAGUGGCCUCAAAUUCUGGAUCGUCCUGCUUCAAUCCCCAAAGGGCUUACCCAAGGCAUGGACCACCAGACCUGGCUUGGAAGAUCCAAUAGGACAGGACUUGAAAAGAAUGUUCUGGGCUGGACCCAAGAAAAGGAGAUUAAAGUCAGAGGUACGGUGCCUAGUGUAACAGCUGGGACCAAGACAGCUCAGAUGUGAUAGAGGAAGGAUGUCAGAAUGGACACUUCCAUAAAAACUGAGCAAGGGGCUGGAAAACUGGUCCCCUGGUUAAAAGCACAACCUAUUCUUGCAGACGGACCUGAUUUCAGAUCUCAGCACCCACACCAGGUGACUCACAGACACCUGCAACUCCAGUUCCAAGGGUAUCGGAUGCCUUUGACUCAGGGUACCUGCAAGCAUGUGCACAUACCUCACCCACCCCCAAGACAUGCUAACAUACACAUAAUCAAACAAUAAUCAUUUGUUUUAAUCUAGGGGAAAAAAGAGAGGUAUGAUGACCUGGCUUGUUACAGGCAUUUGUCACCACGCCAAGAUGGCUUGAGUUUCAUCUCACAGGACCCACACUGUGGAAGGAGAGAAGCAACUGCUACAAGUUGUCCUCCGACCUCUAUGUGUACAUAUAUACUGUGGCAUGCAUGCCACUUCCAUCCCUACUUCCAAAAAAGAGAUAAAUCAAUUUUAAACAACCUGAGUGAGACUCAGACUGUGGAGGGAGACAAAGAAGAGGUGGCAUUUAGCCCUGUGACUGAGAAGGCAUGAGAGGAGGGAAUGGGACCUCCAGGCAGAACUGUGUUGGAGCAGUUCAUCUAUGUGUCCAACACAUUGCUACUGAGGCUCUACCCUGUGCCCGGAAGAUGGACAAAGUCCUGGUUCUCACAAGUCAACAGUCGGGGGAGAGAGAUGGACAGAUCCUACUGAGUUGCUCACCCUGAAGCUUGCAGGAUAAAUGGUACUUCUACAGCCCACCGGAAAUUAAUGCUACUUGACUGACAGCGUCUCUGCUCUCUUGCAAAAGUGUGGCUACAGACUUCUGGAGUGCCUGCAGAUGGGGACAUUCUGGGGUAGCCCCAGGUACUGAAGAAAGGUGUGCUGGCCUUGUUUACAUUUCUAAGGUUCUAACAGGGAAAAAUGUUGGCUGGACAAGCUUUCAGAUGACAAAGCAAAUUAAUUCCAUGAAGCCUCCUGGGGAAGGUAGGAUGCCCAAAGCCUUCCUAGGUCUUCUGGUGGCCCAGCCCCAAACUUGCUUAGGAUGUUUCCCUGGUACCUGUUUGUGUUGGAAGGGCAAGGAAGUGCCACCUGUGGAUGAAGCCCCAUGUAAAUGCAGCCUCGACAGCCAAUAGAAAAGCAGUAAUGUUGCACUCCAGUGUUUGGAAAGAAG
rnacentral:lncRNA from 1 species